AUGAAGCCUUUGCCAGACAUGAUCCCAUCGCCUGUCGCUCCACCCAAGAAGCUAAGACAUUCAAAUGAGGUGAUGCUUCACAUCCUCCAGGUAAGAUGUUUGUGCGUACACAACAGUACGCACAAACAUAGUUUUUCAUUUUUGCCGUCUUUUUUUCUUUUUGUGUUUCAGUCGGCAGAACACCCCAACAUCUUUCUUCAAUCAAGACCUUUCUUCAGUCUUGUGGUGAUCGUCUGUGACACCAACUGUAUCCCAAGUGUAGCAGGACACUCCUGUUUGUGCUGCAGAUAGAAGACCUUAUGGACACGAUCCAUGCUGGAGACAUGACUUCCUCUAACAAAAAAGUAAAUGCUAUUACAACUAUGUAUGUUGAUGUUCAGUCCAAAUGUUUACAGAUGUGAUUGUGAAAAUGUGAAGUUUUUCUCCCAGUUUUCUAAGUUACAACAUCAUUUGUUCUGCUCUUCUUAUGAUGACUUUAGGCUUUCUGGAAUCAGUACUAGCUUUUUUAUUUUUAUCACACUUGUAGUUAUGUUGCCUAAACAAACAACAUUUAAGUUUCACAGUAUCCUAUCACACAUUCUUGUUUGAUAUUCAUUGUUAUUAAAUUUACAGCACUGUUUGUAGUCAUCUGCAUGUCUGUUUUUCAACUUAGACCAGCAAUACUUGUGUUUGUUUCCAGUCAUGUUCACCUCAAAAACAAUAAAGAAGUUAAAAGAAGAUGGAUUCAUAUCUUCAUUCAAGUCUGGGACAUUUGUAUGGCCAAGAUUAACGCAGGAGUUUUACCUUAAUUCAAGAAUUUCAAGUAAAUUAUCAUCAAUAGUGAGAAAAUAAGAGAGCUAACAACAAUUUACUAUUAUUUUGGAAGAAAUAAAGCACUAUUGCUUUUAGUAUAUUUGUCUAGUUUCAAGAAACAGAUCCUAAUGCAGACCACAUGUUUGUCAUAUUGCAGAGUAGAAAAUUCUUUGUUACCAUGUAAGAAAAAAGGAUGCUAUUCUAGUUAAACAUAAACUCUGUGCUUAGUGACUGAUUUUAAAUUUAAAAAGUAAAUUGUGGAUCAAGAUUUUCUUUCCUGGGUUCAGAGAACAGAAGUUUCAUGACUGAUGGUGAACCAGAUCAGAUUUAUACUUUAUUUGUCCCAGCUGUAAUAAACAACUGUAAAAAUAAAUUGUUGAUGAAGUACAACAUGCUAGAUCUAC
rnacentral:lncRNA from 1 species